ensembl:lncRNA
GAGAUUGCCUUCUGUGGGGUGUUUGGUGAGUUCUAAUCUUCAGAAAGGGACUAAUGGAAGUAAUAGAUGAAGUGGAAAAGGACUAAAGGUCCCCUUGAGUUUUCUUUCUUCCUGACUUGCUCCUCCCCAGACUCAGUGAAAGCCAAUAAAGAAGAACUGAGACUCAUCCCUGAUAAAGACAAGCUAAGAAAUCUGCUUCCUGCAUUUAAAAUCAAUUUUUUAUCUAGCCACUGUCUUAUAUUUCUUUCAAGAAGGGAGCUAUCUACUACCAGAAGAGGCAAGGCUGAAAGCAAGUGGCAAUUUACAUCAAGGUCUCCGUAUAGGGGACAAGCUACCAAUAUGGCCUUCAGAGUCAAUCCAGAGAUUAAGAGACCAGCCUCCACCUCACUACAUUCUCCCUUCGUGUCAUUGUACAGAACACUGAGGUCUCCUUUCAGCCUCUUAGUCUCCAGGCUAACCAACCUCAAUUCCCUCAGCUUCUCCCCAUGUAUCUUGUUCAGUAGUCCCUUCACCAGCUUUGUUGCUUGUCUCGGU